AGUGAACGCUGGCGGUAGGCCUAACACAUGCAAGUCGAACGGCAGCACAGUAAGAGCUUGCUCUUACGGGUGGCGAGUGGCGGACGGGUGCGGAAUACAUCGGAAUCUACUUUUUCGUGGGGGAUAACGUAGGGAAACUUACGCUAAUACCGCAUACGCCCUACGGGUGAAAGCAGGGGAUCUUCGGACCUUGCGCGAUCGAAUGAGCCGAUGUCGGAUUAGCUAGUUGGCGGGGUAAAGGCCCACCAAGGCGACGAUCCGUAGCUGGUCUGAGAGGAGGAGAAGCCACACUGGAAUUGAGGCACGGUCCGGACUCCUACGGGAGGGAGAAGUGGGGAAUACUGGAGAAUGGGAGCAAUCCUGAUCCAGGCAUACCGCGUGGGUGAAGAAGGCCGUCGGGUUGUAAAGCCCUUUUGUUGGGAAAGAAAAGCAGCAGGUUAAGACCCCGCUGUUCUGACGGUACCCAAAGAAUAAGCACCGGCUAACUUCGUG
rnacentral:rRNA from 1 species